CAAGCACCUAUAAAUUGAAAGCGAAGGUCUCCGUGCUGUUUCUUUUUUUCUUACUUUUCUCCUCACUCUCUCAUUUAUCGAAUCUGUGUCCCUUCACAAGAAUCAAUUUAACCAUUUCCACUUCUUGUGCUUACUACCACUGGAUGCACAUUUUCCCAUCUGAGAGUUUGUUCUCAUUUGAGUCCAAAACCUAGAAGCUGCUGACCCAAGUUGUUAUCAGGGUUUAGAUUAAAAUCCCCAAUUCAUCACAAACUCUUAAAUUUUGCAGCUGAGUGUUUUUUUCUUAUAACUCUAAUGGAUGACGGCGAGCUAGAUUUCUCGCAUCAAGAACUAUUUUCGAAUACAAACAUGGGUGAGAUUCCGGCCAAUGGCUCCAUGGAUAGUUUCUUUGACGAUUUGCUCAAGGAUACUCAUGCUUGUACUCAUACGCACACUUGUAAUCCUCCUGGUCCGGAUUAUUCCCACACGCAUACUUGCUUUCAUGUGCAUACCAAGAUUGUGUCAGGAGGUUCGGAUGAUAAGACGGGGACUGAUGACACAGCUGAGUCGACUGAAAAGAAGCCAAAGAAACGCCCGUCAGGGAAUAAAGAGGCUGUUAGAAAGUAUAGGGAGAAAAAGAAGGCGAGAGCUGCGUCUUUGGAGGAUGAAGUUGUGCAUUUGAGAGCGUUGAAUCAGCAAUUGCUCAAGAGACUACAGGGACAAGCUGCAUUGGAAGCUGAGGUUGCCAGGCUCAAAUGUUUACUUGUUGAUAUACGAGGAAGGAUUGAAGGGGAGAUUGGAUCUUUUCCGUAUCAGAAAUCAGCAAAUGAUGUGAACUUGCCCAAUUCAAAUUAUAACGGGGGUUACAUAAUGAAUCCAUGUAAUAUGCAAUGUAAUGAUCAGGUUUAUUGCCUGCAUCCAGGGAUGAAUGGGAAAGGCGGGGAUGGUGUUGCUCUAAAUGAGCAAGGAUUCAGUGGUUGUGAUUUUGAUAAUCUGCAAUGCCUUGCAAAUCAGAACUCGGGACUGAAGGAGCUCCCUGGAUGUGGACUUGGAAAUGUAUUGACAAAUGGAAACAGCAAUGGAAAUUCUUCUGGCACAAGUAAGAGGAGAGGUAAGACUUCAAGAGGGGCUCGUUCUGCAACUGGAGGUUGAAGAGCUGUUUAAAUGGUGCUCCUGAGUCACGACGGUACAUAUUGCCUUCCAAGAAGUACUGCUGUUGAGCUGCUGGCAUCUAUUUCCUCAAGUUGCUUUUUUGGGUUUGAAUUUAGGGAGGGGGGAGUCCGUUCAUUAGUGAACCAGAGAGAUUGUCGUAGGUGCUUGUGAGAUUUAAUGUGGGCCUGGGACCUUGACGACAGCCAUGGUUUGAGGAAGAAACGGCGAUGGGAGGGAUUUUCUGUAUUUCAUUUUAAUGGCAAAUAUUUUUUUCUGCGUUGUGUUCUUUAAAAUACAUUGGGCUGGUUAGUUCAUUGAUUUCCCGGUAAAAGGAUAUUGGUACAGCUCGCAAGUUUUUGUGUAUGGUGUUAUUUUACAGAUAAAGAAGGUAUUUCAAGUAUUUUAUAGUCUCUAUUAUAAUUCUUUAUACAGCCCUGUAAUGGUGCUGUGAAAUUGAACCUUCGUGCAGCUUGUGCAAGAUGUGCUGGUUUUUGACUUUGUACUCCAUCUGACUAUUACAAAUCCUUGUUAAUACACAGCUAUAAAAUUCUUAA